rnacentral:rRNA from 1 species
AUUGAACGCUGGCGGCAUGCCUUACACAUGCAAGUCGAACGGCAGCACGGGAGCUUGCUCCUGGUGGCGAGUGGCGAACGGGUGAGUAAUACAUCGGAACGUACCCUGAAGUGGGGGAUAACGUAGCGAAAGUUACGCUAAUACCGCAUAUUCUGUGAGCAGGAAAGAGGGGGAUCGCAAGACCUCUUGCUUUAGGAGCGGCCGAUGUCGGAUUAGCUAGUUGGUGAGGUAAAGGCUCACCAAGGCGACGAUCCGUAGCGGGUCUGAGAGGAUGAUCCGCCACACUGGGACUGAGACACGGCCCAGACUCCUACGGGAGGCAGCAGUGGGGAAUUUUGGACAAUGGGCGCAAGCCUGAUCCAGCCAUGCCGCGUGAGUGAAGAAGGGCCUU